GCAUAUUAUUUGGUCUUUGGUGAUUUUAGCUGUAUGGUGUAUGAGCAUAAUCCAUAGAGCUUUAUUACCAAAAACCAAAUGGUUUUUGCA
rnacentral:pre_miRNA from 1 species